rnacentral:lncRNA from 1 species
CCUAGUUUCCCAGUGCUGGAAUAUAGAAAAUGGAUGGACAAGUAAAUCCCACUCAGCACCCAUAGUCCAGCUGGACCUACCAUGAAAGACUUCUGAAUCCAAGAAGAGAAACUGACUGGGCAACAUGUUAUUCAGAAACAGGACCUUGCCCUGUCACUCAGGAUGGAGUUCAGUGGUCCUAUCAUGGCUCAUUAUAGCCUCAAACUCCCAGGCUCAAGCAAUCCUACCAUGUCAGCCUUCCCAGUAGCUGGGACUACAGGAAGUGAGCUCACAAUGACUCAAGCUGCCACAUACUGUUGAUUGUGAAAUGCCAGUUGAAGCAUAUGUCCUGCAAGCUUAGGGGUGCUACAAGUUGACCACUGCAGCAGUAAAGAUGACUCUGAAGAAUGGCGUGGGAUGGUUCCUUUCAAAUGCACUUGAGCAGCGGUCUCCAACCACAGGGCCACAGAGCUGGAGCUGGAUCUACCAUGAAA